rnacentral:lncRNA from 1 species
UUUGGAGUUGGAAGUGAGAGAAUCGUGUUUAAAGGAAAGGGUAGGUCAUCCACAGAACAGCUUUCAGUCAUUACAAAAAAAAAAUACUUCUUGCUUUUAUAUUACCAUCUUCCCCCAUUAGGCCUACCUGCAUACUGUGCUUCAUCAAAUCUAAGAUCACCUCACAACUAUACCAUUAUUUUAGGCACCACUAAAAGACAGUGUAUUGCUAACAAAACUAUGAUAAACCAUUGAUAAUAUAUCCAGAUUUCAGAGAUGUUACAGUGCAUCUUAGUUGAUGAAACAAAAAUAUACAAAACAUGAGACACAGUAAAAAUGAUAAGUACCACCUCAUUAUACCUUUUCACAAGCAAAUAGUGGCCAAAGAUGUGAACGGCCAGACACGGUAGCCGACAUAUGUAAUCCCAGAUACUCUGGAGGCUGAGGCAGAGGAUCACUUGAGCUCAGGAGUUUGAGACCGGCUUGGGCAAUAUAGUAAGACCCCACAGAAAAAUGUAAAGCCAGGUGUGAUGGCACACACCUGUAGUUCCAGCUACUGGGGAGGCUGAGGCAGGAGGGAUGGCUUGAACCCAGGAACUGGAGGAUGCAGUGAGCUAUGAUCACACCACUGGACUCCAGCCUGGGUGAUGGAGUGGGACAGUGUCUCUUUAAAAAAUGUGGGCCAGGUGCAGUGGCUCGCACCUGUCAUCCAAGCACUUUGGGAGGCUGAGGUUUGCUAAUUCACUGUUUACAGAGGACCUUAGAUGUCCCACUAUAAUUGCUCUUAGGUAUUUUUAACAAAUGAAUAGUCAUAAUUCACAGAAAAGACAAGUGGUACUUUUUAUCUACAUAGACUAUACUAUAUAAACUUUCAGUAAAACAUUUAAAUUGUUUUACUUUUAAUCUUGUCAAGUAAUUU